UGGGAAUUUGGACAAUGGGCGAAAGCCUGAUCCAGCAAUGCCGCGUGUGUGAAGAAGGCCUUCGGGUUGUAAAGCACUUUUGUCCGGAAAGAAAUCCUUGGCUCUAAUACAGUCGGGGGAUGACGGUACCGGAAGAAUAAGCACCGGCUAACUACGUGCCAGCAGCCGCGGUAAUACGUAGGGUGCAAGCGUUAAUCGGAAUUACUGGGCGUAAAGCGUGCGCAGGCGGUUUGCUAAGACCGAUGUGAAAUCCCCGGGCUCAACCUGGGAACUGCAUUGGUGACUGGCAGGCUAGAGUAUGGCAGAGGGGGGUAGAAUUCCACGUGUAGCAGUGAAAUGCGUAGAGAUGUGGAGGAAUACCGAUGGCGAAGGCAGCCCCCUGGGCCAAUACUGACGCUCAUGCACGAAAGCGUGGGGAGCAAACAGGAUUAGAUACCCUGGUAGUCCACGCCCUAAA
rnacentral:rRNA from 1 species